rnacentral:rRNA from 1 species
GAUGAACGCUGGCGGCGUGCCUAAUACAUGCAAGUCGAGCGAACGGACGAGAAGCUUGCUUCUCUGAUGUUAGCGGCGGACGGGUGAGUAACACGUGGAUAACCUACCUAUAAGACUGGGAUAACUUCGGGAAACCGGAGCUAAUACCGGAUAAUAUUUUGAACCGCAUGGUUCAAAAGUGAAAGACGGUCUUGCUGUCACUUAUAGAUGGAUCCGCGCUGCAUUAGCUAGUUGGUAAGGUAACGGCUUACCAAGGCAACGAUGCAUAGCCGACCUGAGAGGGUGAUCGGCCACACUGGAACUGAGACACGGUCCAGACUCCUACGGGAGGCAGCAGUAGGGAAUCUUCCGCAAUGGGCGAAAGCCUGACGGAGCAACGCCGCGUGAGUGAUGAAGGUCUUCGGAUCGUAAAACUCUGUUAUUAGGGAAGAACAUAUGUGUAAGUAACUGUGCAAAGCUUGACGGUAACUAAUCAGAAAGCCACGGCUAACUACGUG